GCCUGGUGUGGUGGUGUGCGCCUGUAGUCCCAGCUACUUGGGAGGCUGAGGCGGGAGAAUUGCUUGAACCCAGGAGGCAGAGGUUGCAGUGAGCCGAGAUCGCGCCGCUGCACUCUAGCCUGGGUGACAGAGCGAGACUCCGUCUCAA
rnacentral:SRP_RNA from 1 species